rnacentral:rRNA from 1 species
CCUACGGGUGGCUGCAGUCGAGAAUCUUCCGCAAUGGACGAAAGUCUGACGGAGCGACGCCGCGUGCGGGAUGAAGGCCCUUGGGUUGUAAACCGCUGUCAGAGGGGAUGAAAUCUCCGGAGGUUAUCCUCCGGAGUUGACAGAGCCUCAGAGGAAGCACGGGCUAAGUAUGUGCCAGCAGCCGCGGUAAUACAUACUGUGCGAACGUUAUUCGGAAUCACUGGGCUUAAAGGGUGCGUAGGCGGUGGUUCAAGUCAGAUGUGAAAUGCCUGAGCUCAACUGAGGCAUUGCGUUUGAAACUGGAUCGCUUGAGUAUCCCAGGGGUGUGCGGAACUGCCAGUGGAGCGGUGAAAUGUGUUGAUAUUGGCAGGAACACCGGAGGCGAAAGCGGCACACUGGGGGAUAACUGACGCUGAGGCACGAAAGCCAGGGUAGCGAACGGGAUUAGAUACCCUAGUAGUC